rnacentral:rRNA from 1 species
GAUGAACGCUGGCGGCGUGCCUAAUACAUGCAAGUCGAGCGAACAGACGAGGAGCUUGCUCCUCUGACGUUAGCGGCGGACGGGUGAGUAACACGUGGAUAACCUACCUAUAAGACUGGGAUAACUUCGGGAAACCGGAGCUAAUACCGGAUAAUAUAUUGAACCGCAUGGUUCAAUAGUGAAAGACGGUUUUGCUGUCACUUAUAGAUGGAUCCGCGCCGCAUUAGCUAGUUGGUAAGGUAAAGGCUUACCAAGGCGACGAUGCGUAGCCGACCUGAGAGGGUGAUCGGCCACACUGGAACUGAGACACGGUCCAGACUCCUACGGGAGGCAGCAGUAGGGAAUCUUCCGCAAUGGGCGAAAGCCUGACGGAGCAACGCCGCGUGAGUGAUGAAGGUCUUCGGAUCGUAAAACUCUGUCAUUAGGGAAGAACAAAUGUGUAAGUAACUAUGCACGUCUUGACGGUACCUAAUCAGAAAGCCACGGCUAACUACGUG